rnacentral:rRNA from 1 species
AUGAAAAUCUCUCAAGAUGCAAGCAUUGGAAAUGACCAAACGGUGAAGACUUAUUGGCAACGCAUCAAGGAGUACUUCGAUGAGUGCAACACAAGUGGUCACUUCCGUUCGAGCGACUCUCUACGCCAAUGUUGGUCCACCAUCAACGCCGAACGCCAAAAGUGGUUCGGUUGCUUGUCAAACGUUGCUCGCAUGAACCCAAGUGGUUGCUAUUAG